ACACGACUACAUUAGAUACCCGCGUAGUCCUAGCCGUAAACGAUACUCGCUAGGUGUCGGCCACGGUGCGACCGUUGUCGGUGCCGUAGGGUAGCCGUUAAACUCGCUGCCGUGGGAGUACGGUCGCAAGGCUGAAACUUAAAGGAAUUGGCGGGGAGCACCACAACGGGUGGAGCUUGCGGUUUAAUUGGAUUCAACGCCGGAAAUCUUACCGGGACCGACAGCAACAUGAAGGCCAGGCUGAAGACUUUGCCGGAUUAGCUG
rnacentral:rRNA from 1 species